rnacentral:rRNA from 1 species
UACGGAGGGAGCUAGCGUUGUUCGGAAUUACUGGGCGUAAAGCGCACGUAGGCGGCUUUUUAAGUCAGGGGUGAAAUCCCGGGGCUCAACCUCGGAACUGCCCUUGAAACUGGGAAGCUAGAAUCUUGGAGAGGCGAGUGGAAUUCCGAGUGUAGAGGUGAAAUUCGUAGAUAUUCGGAAGAACACCAGUGGCGAAGGAGACUCGCGGGACAAGUACUGACGCUGAGGUGCGAAAGCGUGGGGAGCAAACAGG